rnacentral:misc_RNA from 1 species
AACGCACGAGACCUGCGGACCUGCGGAAGGAUCAUUAAAGAGUUGAAAAACUCACCCAAAACCACCGUGAACAUACCUUAUUACCGUUGCCUCGGCAGGCGGCCCCAGGGCGGGGCUGUUGCCUGAAAUAAUGGUGUCUGCCGGGGGUUAAUAAAACUUCUGUUAUUUUUGUCAGCUUCUGAGUUAAAAACAAACCCAGUCAAAACUUUCAGCAAUGGAUCUCUAGAUCGGAAGAGCACA